rnacentral:rRNA from 1 species
GACGAACGCUGGCGGCGUGCUUAACACAUGCAAGUCGAACGGAAAGGCCCUGCUUUUGUGGGGUGCUCGAGUGGCGAACGGGUGAGUAACACGUGAGUAACCUGCCCUUGACUUUGGGAUAACUUCAGGAAACUGGGGCUAAUACCGGAUAGGAGCUCCUGCUGCAUGGUGGGGGUUGGAAAGUUUCGGCGGUUGGGGAUGGACUCGCGGCUUAUCAGCUUGUUGGUGGGGUAGUGGCGUACCAAGGCUUUGACGGGUAGCCGGCCUGAGAGGGUGACCGGCCACAUUGGGACUGAGAUACGGCCCAGACUCCUACGGGAGGCAGCGGUGGGGAAUAUUGCACAAUGGGCGGAAGCCUGAUGCAGCAACGCCGCGUGCGGGAUGACGGCCUUCGGGUUGUAAACCGCUUUCGCCUGUGACGAAGCGUGAGUGACGGUAAUGGGUAAAGAAGCACCGGCUAACUACGUG